rnacentral:rRNA from 1 species
CGAACCCAUGUGGGGAGUGGCGGAUAGCUCAGUAAUACAGUUAUAACAUAAUCUACAUAAAUGGAUAACCUUGUCAAGAUAAGGCUAAUACAGUAAAGAUGUUAGAAGCAUGAAAGCGGAGCAUCAAUGUAGCGUUGGUUUCUGACCUAUCAGUUAGUAUGUUUUGUAAGGGAGAACAUAGACUAUGACGGGUAACGGGGGAUGCACGUCUGAUACCGGAGAGGAAGCCUUAGAAACCGCUUUCACGUCCAAGGAUGGCAGCAGGCGCGAAACUUACCCAAUUAUUGUAUUGAUAGAGGUAGUUAUGACGCAUGUUAAGAUUUUAAAUUGAAACUUCAUUAAAGAUAGAUAAGCGACUGGAGGGCAAGUCUGGUGCCAGCAGCCGCGGUAAUUCCAGCUCCAGUAGUGCAUAUACAUGCUGUAGUUAGAAAGUUUGUAGCCAGUUUAUGGAUUGUUUUUGAUAAUAGUUAUUCUCCAAAAGAGCUAAUUUUAACUAAUUCAUAAAAAUAGAAGCGGAUGAAGGUAAUUGUAUUCACCAGCAAGAGGUAAAAUUUGAUGACCUGGUGAGGACAUUCAGAGGCGAAAGCGAUUGCCUAGUACAUUUUUGAUGGUAAAGAACGUAAGCCGGAGGAUCAAAGAUGAUUAGAUACCGUUGUAGUUCCGGCCGUAAAUUAUGCCAACUUGCAUUUUGUUAUUUAUACAAGGAGCAUAGAGAAAUUAAGAGUUUUUGGGCUCUAGGGAUAGUAAUCCGGCAACGGACAAACUUAAAGAAAUUGGCGGAAGGACACCACAAGGAGUGGAUUAUACGGCUUAAUUUGACUCAACGCGGGAAAACUUACCAGGGCCUAUGUAUAAGAGAAAGUUAACAUUGUAUGUAUACUUGAUUGUACUUUGAGUGGUGCAUGGCCGUUUUCAACACGUGGGGUGACUUGUCAGGUUUAUUCCGGUAACGUGUGAUGUGCAGUAUGCAACUAAUGUUGUGAGACUUCUUGCGGUAAGCUUGAUGAAGAGGCGCUAUAACAGGUCAGUGAUGCCCUUAGAUGUUCUGGGCUGCACGUGUAAUACAGUGGGUAUUUCAAUAUUUAAUAGGAGUAAAUUUACCCGAGACAGGGAUCAUGCUUUGUAAGAAG